GGGGUUGUGGCUCGGUGGUAGAGCAGUUUCGUGGCAUACAGAAGGUCCCAGGUUCAAUCCCUGGUUGCUCCA
rnacentral:tRNA from 1 species